AAGCGGAGGAAAAGAAACCAACAGGGAUUGCCUCAGUAACGGCGAGUGAAGCGGCAAAAGCUCAAAUUUAAAAUCUGGCACUCUCAGUGUCCGAGUUGUACUUUGGAGAGGCAUCUUCUGGAGGGACCCAGCCUAUGUGCCUUGGAACAGGACGUCAUAGAGGGUGAGAAUCCCGUCCUUGGCUGGAUGUUCCCUCCUGUAUGUAGUGUCUUCUACGAGUCGAGUUGUUUGGGAAUGCAGCUCAAAAUGGGUGGUAAAUUUCAUCUAAAGCUAAAUAUUGGCGAGAGACCGAUAGCGCACAAGUAGAGUGAUCGAAAGAUGAAAAGCACUUUGAAAAUAGAGUCAAACAGUACGUGAAAUUGUUGAAAGGGAAGCGCUUGAGACCAGAGUCAACCUUUGCAAACAAUUGUCCUUCUGGGCUGUGCACUUGUCAUUGGCUGGGCCAGCAUCGGUUGGGACGGCAGGAUAAAGGCCUUGGGAAUGUGACUCCCUUGUGGAGUGUUAUAGCCCUUGGUGCCAUGCUGUCAGCCCCGACCGUGGACCGCGCUUAGGCUCGGAUGCUGGCUUAAUGGUCUUCAGCGACCCGUCUUGAAACACGGACCAAGGAGUCUAACGUCUAUGCGAGUGUUUGGGCUUCAAACCCUUACGCGUAAUGAAAGUAAACGGAGGUGGGAAUCCUGCAAGGGAUGCACCAUCGACCGAUCCUGAUGUCUUCGGAUGGAUUUGAGUAGGAGCAUAGCUGUUGGGACCCGAAAGAUGGUGAACUAUGCCUGAAUAGGGUGAAGCCAGAGGAAACUCUGGUGGAGGCUCGCAGCGGUUCUGACGUGCAAAUCGAUCGUCAAAUUUGGGUAUAGGGGCGAAAGACUAAUCGAACCAUCUAGUAGCUGGUUCCUG
rnacentral:rRNA from 2 species